rnacentral:rRNA from 1 species
CCUACGGGGGGCUGCAGUGGGGAAUAUUGCACAAUGGGCGCAAGCCUGAUGCAGCCAUGCCGCGUGCGUGAAGAAGGCCUUCGGGUUGUAAAGCACUUUCAGCGGGGAGGAAGGCGGUGAGGUUAAUAACCUCAUCGAUUGACGUUACCCGCAGAAGAAGCACCGGCUAACUCCGUGCCAGCAGCCGCGGUAAUACGGAGGGUGCAAGCGUUAAUCGGAAUUACUGGGCGUAAAGCGCACGCAGGCGGUCUGUCAAGUCGGAUGUGAAAUCCCCGGGCUCAACCUGGGAACUGCAUUCGAAACUGGCAGGCUAGAGUCGUGUAGAGGGGGGUAGAAUUCCAGGUGUAGCGGUGAAAUGCGUAGAGAUCUGGAGGAAUACCGGUGGCGAAGGCGGCCCCCUGGACAAAGACUGACGCUCAGGUGCGAAAGCGUGGGGAGCAAACAGGAUUAGAUACCCUAGUAGUC